rnacentral:rRNA from 1 species
AUUGAACGCUGGCGGCAGGCCUAACACAUGCAAGUCGAGCGAGCGGCGGACGGGUGAGUAAUGUAUGGGGACUGCCCGAUCGAGGGGGAAAACUACUGGAAACGGUGGCUAAUACCGCAUACUAUCGGAUAACCCAUAUGGGAUUAGCUAGUAGGGGGGGUAAAGGCUCACCUAGGCGACGAUCUCUAGCUGGUCUGAGAGGAUGAUCAGCCACACUGUGACGUGGACACGGCCCAGACUCCUACGGAGGCAGCAGUGGGGAAUAGUGCACAAGGGGCGCAAGCCUGAUGCAGCCAUGCCGCGUGUAUGAAGAAGGCCUUAGGGUUUUAAAGUACUUUCAGCGGGGAGGCGUUACCCGCAGAAGAAGCACCGGCUAACUCCGUGCCAGCAGCCGCGGUAAUAC